GAUGAAGAGGCAGCUCGCUUGGGGUGGGGAGCUGAGGGCCCGGAGCUAGUCUCAUAGAAGAUGCAACAGGCAGAGAAGAACCAAGUUGAUGUUGUCGUCAUGGUGGAGGCCAUGAUAGAGCAGUCAACAGCCAGCCGUUUCCCAGACACACCCCCCAGUUGGAGUGACAGAGGACCUGAGAAGAGGAAUCUUUACUGACAAAGUUUCCGCACCCUCAUCUCUGUCAACCCAGCACCACCUCCAACUCAACCAUACGCGCGAACGCAGUCCCGCACUACCACAAAUUCUGCAGUCGAGUUUACCACGUUUGGGGAUAUUGCAGGGUUCAGCACAUCCGGAGUGCAAUGAAUAAGUCUCGCCCAGGGAAAACCACCUUCGUGAUCACGGUAUCUCCUCUGCCAGCCUCUCACUGUUGUGGCCUCUCCCGUUGCGGAGCACAGGCUCCAGACGCGCAGGCUCAGCGGCCAUGGCUCACAGGCCUAGCCGCUCCGCGGCAUGUGGGAUCUUCCCGGACCGGGGCACGAACCCGCGUCCCCUGCAUCGGCUGGCGGACUCUCAACCACUGCGCCACCAGGGAAGCCCUAAACUGGUGAACUUUAAGUAAGCAGAUUGCCCUCCAUCAUGUGGGUGGACCUCAUUCAAUCAGUUGAAAACCUGAUAGAACAAGGAGACCAGCUCCCUGG